rnacentral:rRNA from 1 species
AGUGAACGCUGGCGGUAGGCCUAACACAUGCAAGUCGAACGGCAGCACAGUAAGAGCUUGCUCUUACGGGUGGCGAGUGGCGGACGGGUGAGGAAUACAUCGGAAUCUACUUUUUCGUGGGGGAUAACGUAGGGAAACUUACGCUAAUACCGCAUACGACCUACGGGUGAAAGCAGGGGAUCUUCGGACCUUGCGCGAUUGAAUGAGCCGAUGUCGGUUUAGCUAGUUGGCGGGGUAAAGGCCCACCAAGGCGACGAUCCGUAGCUGGUCUGAGAGGAUGAUCCGCCACACUGGCACUGAGACACGGUCCAGACUCCUACGGGAGGCAGCAGUGGGGAAUAUUGGACAAUGGGCGCAAGCCUGAUCCAGCCAUACCGCGUGGGUGAAGAAGGCCUUCGGGUUGUAAAGCCCUUUUGUUGGGAAAGAAAAGCAGCAGGUUAAUACCCCGCUGUUCUGACGGUACCCAAAGAAUAAGCACCGGCUAACUUCGUG